rnacentral:rRNA from 1 species
UACGUAGGGGGCAAGCGUUGUCCGGAAUCAUUGGGCGUAAAGAGCGUGUAGGCGGCCCGGUAAGUCUGUUGUGAAAGUCCAGGGCUCAACCCUGGAAUGCCGAUGGAUACUGCCGGGCUAGAGUUCGGAAGAGGCGAGUGGAAUUCCUGGUGUAGCGGUGGAAUGCGCAGAUAUCAGGAGGAACACCUAUAGCGAAGGCAGCUCGCUGGGAAUGAUCUGACACUGAGACGCGAAAGCCAGGGGAGCGAACGGG